rnacentral:rRNA from 1 species
UACGGAGGUGGCUAGCGUUACUCGGAUUUACUGGGUGUAAAGGGUAUGUAGGCGGGCUUGCAAGUCAGGCGUGAAAGCCCUUGGCUCAACCAAGGAAUUGCGCUUGAAACUGCUUGUCUUGAGUGCGGGAGAGGGGAACGGAAUUCCCGGUGUAAGGGUGAAAUCUGUAGAGAUCGGGAGGAACACCAGUGGCGAAAGCGGUUCCCUGGUCCGUUACUGACGCUGAAAUACGAAAGCUUGGGGAG